rnacentral:rRNA from 1 species
GACGAACGCUGGCGGCGUGCUUAACACAUGCAAGUCGAACGGAAAGGCCCUGCUUUUGUGGGGUGCUCGAGUGGCGAACGGGUGAGUAACACGUGAGUAACCUGCCCUUGACUUUGGGAUAACUUCAGGAAACUGGGGCUAAUACCGGAUAGGAGCUCCUGCUGCAUGGUGGGGGUUGGAAAGUUUCGGCGGUUGGGGAUGGACUCGCGGCUUAUCAGCUUGUUGGUGGGGUAGUGGCUUACCAAGGCUUUGACGGGUAGCCGGCCUGAGAGGGUGACCGGCCACAGUGGGACUGGGAUACGACCCAGACUGCUACGUGAGGCAGCGGUGGGGAAUAGUGCACGAUGGGCGGAAGCCGGAUGCAGCAACGCCGCGUGCGGGAGGACGGCCUUCGGGUUGUAAACCGCGUUCGCCUGUGACGAAGCGUGAGUGACGGUAAUGGGUAAAGAAGCACCGGCUAACUACGUG